rnacentral:rRNA from 1 species
GAUGAACGCUGGCGGCGUGCCUAAUACAUGCAAGUCGGACGGAGAGAGGAGAUUUCGGUUGAAUCUCUUAGUGGCGAACGGGUGAGUAACGCGUUGGUGACCUGCCCCGAAGAGGGGGAUAACAGCUCGAAAGGGCUGCUAAUACCCCAUGAGAUCUACCCAGUUAGAGGGGGGUAGAUGAAAGGAGAAAUCCGCUUUGGGAGGGGCCUGCGUCCCAUCAGCUAGUUGGUAAGGUAAAAGCUUACCAAGGCGAAGACGGGUAGGGGGCCUGAGAGGGUGACCCCCCACACUGGCACUGAAACACGGGCCAGACACCUACGGGUGGCAG